UUGAUGCAUUGGCAGUCGAUCAAAUGAUUUAUCCACAUCGACCCGACCUGACGACUCAAUUUGGUUAUCCUCUCGCCCGUGCUAGGGUUCCAUCGAGCAUCGCCGCCAGGAGCCGGCAAAGGUGCGCCCGCCAAGCUCGGGGUGCUUCACGCCUAGUGGUUGCUGCCAAAUCUAAGGCCGAUCAAUCCGACCAUAUAUUUUCUCCCUGCGAUUCUCCCACGUCAAGCUACUAAACAGAAUCGCUGGUGGCGUCAUGAACUGCCGUUGAUCUGUGCUUAUGGCAUCACAUCUAAAUCUUGAGAUGAUAAUGAAAUUUGUAAAUGCAAGCACGGAGUAUAAGGUUUUACGUGUGAUCCUCUUCGCCUCCCCUAUCAUCAAAUCCUGGCUCCGCCCCUGGUCAGUACCUCCACUCCAGUCAGUUGGUGCAUGCAUGGAUGGACCGAUAUGUUUUGCUUUCUGGAUUUAGUAUGUCGCCGGCCAGGUCGAGUGGUCGACGCGCGAGCUGAUUGAUUGGUCCUUCUUUUCCUAUGUAGUUUGGCCCUUGAUUUCUUUUGUACUCCAAAGUAUGAGGAAGGGCCACUUUUAGUUGCAAUUUUGCUGUCAUGCUGUUUCUUCAUCACUUGUGAUGAGUUGUGAGUAUCAUGCCCCAUACUUCGCAAAAAGAAAAAAAUAGUGGACGAAAUGAUAGGAGAAAAUUAUGUGCCUUACAAAAGUUGCAUCGGAAGGUUACUGACCAAAUUCUAGACAUCUGAUCCAGUGGAUAGAUGCAUCGAUGUCAACGGCCAACUGUGAGUAUGGUUUCCAUCAGCUAUU